UACGUAGGGACCAAGCGUUGUUCGGAUUUACUGGGCGUAAAGGGCGCGUAGGCGGCCUAGCAGGUCACUUGUGAAAUCUCCGGGCUUAACUCGGAACUGCCAAGUGAAACUGCUGGGCUAGAGUGCAGAAGGGGCAAUCGGAAUUCUUGGUGUAGCGGUGAAAUGCGUAGAUAUCAAGAGGAACACCUGAGGUGAAGACGGGUUGCUGGGCUGACACUGACGCUGAGGCGCGAAAGCCAGGGGAGCAAACGGG
rnacentral:rRNA from 1 species